rnacentral:lncRNA from 1 species
GAGACAUAGCUGAAAGGAAGGGAUGAAGGGUGGAGAGAAAGAACACAGGAGGUCUCUUCUUGUGUGAGAUUUGAUGUGUACAUCAAGAGGGACAAGCGGUCACCAAUGGGGAACUCUAUGGAUAGAUUUGGAGUUUGUUAUAAAGAAAAAAUGUGCAAAGCAGACAGGUCACCUCCUCAUGGAACAAGGCUUGUAGUGACAGGAUUCAAGGCCUACCCUAAAUCUCGUAUGUGAUAACAUCCCAGGAUCCUUCAAGAUGCUCGUCUGUGAAGACUCGCUCAGGCUGGAUGUGAAUUCGAAGCACAUGACUUGGCUCAUUCCCCUCCAUUUGGAUCCGCUCCUGUUUCCUUCAGCCAUAACUGUUGAGCACGAGAGGUUGCGGUGGUUUCUUCCCCUGGACAGGUCUGUUGAACCCAGGCCCUCCUUGUCCUUGUGAGACUCCAUGUAAUUAACUACAGAGCUGUGCACUGUGGUCGUAUAGAGCUGGCUUUCCCAGUCAUAUGGCCUGCCUCAGCUGCCCACCCUAUCUGCAGGCCUAGGAUGUGGAAAGGCUUGGGAAGGGACUGACAGACAACUGACUGAAGGUUUGAAUGGUUAAUGUGAGCCACGCUGUCUGGGUGGCUCUACGGCAGAGUCGAGGUGAGUGUAAAGCCCAGAAGCUCAGAUGAAUAUGUAAGGAUUCUUUUAUACGUAGAGGUGGUCAGUGCUGCCGUUUGUAGAUUUACUCUAAGACCCAGAAGCCCGUGAGCUGCAACUAUUUCCCCCUCAGGAGUGAUCUUACUCUUGAUACUAUUUUGUAUGUGUGUAUGUGGUGUGUGUGGGUGUGGGUGUGUGUGUGUGUGUGUGUGUGUGUGUGUGUGUAUUAUGUACAUAGAUAUAUCCAUUCCACUGGUUCUG